rnacentral:lncRNA from 1 species
UAUAGUUGAGUUUUUUGUGUUUUGGUCUGUUUUCUCAUACUUUAUGCAAUAGGUCUACUAUAUUUGUUGUAUGGAAUGAUUGUAAGGUGUACAUGUCUAGCGGGCAGAUGUCAUCUGACCUUGACCUCAUUGUCAUGGUUCAGUGGUCAAAGUUAAGUUUUUAAGUUUUGGUCUUUUUAUCUAAUAUUAUAUGCCAAAGGUCAACUAUAUUUGGU